GAAUAUUGGACAAUGGGGGCAACCCUGAUCCAGCCAUGCCGCGGGUGUGAAGAAGGUCUUCGGAUUGUAAAGCACUUUAAGUUGGGAGGAAGGGCCUUAGGUUAAUACCCUGAAGUUGUGACGCUACACACAGAAUAAACACCGCCUCACUCUGUGCCAGCAGCCGCGGUAAUAUAGAGUGUGCAAGCGUUAAUCGGAAUUACUGGGCGUAAAGCGCGCGUAGGUGGUUCAGUAAGAUGGGUGUGAAAUCCCCGGGCUUAACCUGGGAACUGCUUUCAUAACUGCUGAGCUAGAGUACGGGAGAGGGUAGUGGAAUUUCCUGUGUAGCGGUGAAAUGCGUAGAUAUAGGAAGGAACACCAGUGGCGAAGGCGACUACCUGGACUGAUACUGACACUGAGGUGCGAAAGCGUGGGGAGCA
rnacentral:rRNA from 1 species